CCUACGGGUGGCAGCAGUGGGGAAUAUUGGACAAUGGGCGAAAGCCUGAUCCAGCCAUGCCGCGUGUGUGAAGAAGGCCUUCGGGUUGUAAAGCACUUUCAGUGGGGAAGAAAGCCUUGGGGCUAAUACCCUCGAGGAAGGACAUCACCCACAGAAGAAGCACCGGCAACUCCGUGCCAGCAGCCGCGGUAAUACGGAGGGUGCGAGCGUUAAUCGGAAUUACUGGGCGUAAAGCGCGCGUAGGCGGUCUGAUAAGCCGGUUGUGAAAGCCCCGGGCUCAACCUGGGAACGGCAUCCGGAACUGUCAGGCUAGAGUGCAGGAGAGGAAGGUAGAAUUCCCGGUGUAGCGGUGAAAUGCGUAGAGAUCGGGAGGAAUACCAGUGGCGAAGGCGGUCUUCUGGACUGACACUGACGCUGAGGUGCGAAAGCGUGGGUAGCAAACAGGAUUAGAUACCCUGGUAGUC
rnacentral:rRNA from 1 species